GCCACGUUUGAGCGGGCGAGCCCGGCGGCCGGGAGACGCCAGGGAACGGGGCUGGUGGGGGUACAAAGGCUCGGUUCCGUCGCCUUCAGCCCUGCGGUGGGGGCACGGGGCAAGUGAGGGGACGGCAGAGGCGGCGUUCGGUGUGAGGCUGCGCCCUGGGCUCCUGAAAAUCCAGGGCUGCAGUCAUUUGAAGGCUUGACUGGGGCUGGAGGAUUUUCAUCCAAGAUGGCUCACUCACCCAGCUGUUGGCAGGAGACCUCGGUUCUUUGACUUCUCCGUAAGACUGUAUGCUGUGCAUUGGACUCUUCCUCACUUGGGCUCCCUGCGAUUUUCCAGGUCAGAUGAUUCCUUUUGCUUCCCAGCCUUCUAAAACGAAACACCUUCCAAGGCAGGCAAUAAGGGGAUCUCUCUGCUCCUCAUGUGUUUGGAGACCUCUGCUUUUUCCUGCUCUGUGCAUAGCCUUGCAAAGGCUCUGCGUUUCUGUGUUCCAUGCUGCUCACAGAUUGCAUCUUCAGCCUUCCCAGAAUGAACUUGAACUGCUCCCUCCUGUGCCCACACUUCCUGAGAAGUGCAGCUACUGAAAACCCACCCUGAAGACCGGCAACCUUGCUUGGGACAUUGCUGAAGAGUUGAACUAAGCGCAGGGCUGUGUGGGACCAAACCUAUCUAUUCCCCACCGCCAAAAUCUCACCCCUUUCUCAUGCCAGCACUGAGGAAAACUGUUUUGGGGAAAAGUGAGAUCUGCUUUUACAGCGGCUGACUAUGUAAGGAAAUUAUGAUUCCCUGACAGAAAUAGAUUGAUAUAGACAUGGCCAGAAUGAGAAAUAAUCUAAUUAA
rnacentral:lncRNA from 1 species